CCGCAGGCAUCUAACGUGAACGAAAUGUGAAGGAGAAGGAUGGGGAUGCGUCUGAUUAGCUUGUUGGCGGGGUAACGGCCCACCAAGGCGACGAUCAGUAGGGGUUCUGAGAGGAAGGUCCCCCACAUUGGAACUGAGACACGGUCCAAACUCCUACGGGAGGCAGCAGUGAGGAAUAUUGGUCAAUGGACGAGAGUCUGAACCAGCCAAGUAGCGUGCAGGAUGACGGCCCUAUGGGUUGUAAACUGCUUUUAUAGGGGGAUAAAGUGUGUCACGUGUGGCAUAUUGCAGGUACCCUAUGAAUAAGGACCGGCUAAUUCCGUGCCAGCAGCCGCGGUAAUACGGAAGGUCCAGGCGUUAUCCGGAUUUAUUGGGUUUAAAGGGAGCGUAGGCCGUUUGGUAAGCGUGUUGUGAAAUGUCGGGGCUCAACCUGGGCAUUGCAGCGCGAACUGCCAGACUUGAGUGCGCAGGAAGUAGGCGGAAUUCGUCGUGUAGCGGUGAAAUGCUUAGAUAUGACGAAGAACUCCGAUUGCGAAGGCAGCCUGCUGUAGCGCAACUGACGCUGAAGCUCGAAAGCGUGGGUAUCGAACAGGAUUAGAUACCCUGGUAGUCCACGCGGUAAACGAUGGAUGCUCGCUGUUUGCGUCUGACGUAAGCGGCCAAGCGAAAGCGUUAAGCAUCCCACCUGGGGAGUAC
rnacentral:rRNA from 1 species